rnacentral:ncRNA from 1 species
CACCGUGAGGUGUGGGCGAGAAGAACGGGUAGCGAAAUCGUAGCCUGACGAACAGAAACCUGAUACGAAGGCGUAUAGGGGGGAUAAGCUGGCUAAAAGCAGUGAAGUCCAAAAAGGCAACCGUAACUCCUAUGUGUAAAUCAGGCAGGUAGACGAGGAAAGACU